rnacentral:rRNA from 1 species
GUAUAUUAAAAUUGUUGCCGUUAAAAAGCUCGUAGUCGAACUUCGGGCUCUGUCAGCCGGUCCGCCUUCUUGGUGUGUACUUGUUUGACGGAGCCUUACCUCCUGGUGAACGGCGAUGUCCUUUACUGGGUGUCGUCGCAAACCAGGACUUUUACUUUGAAAAAAUUAGAGUGUUCAAAGCAGGCCUUUGCCCGAAUACAUUAGCAUGGAAUAAUAAAAUAGGACGCGCGUUCCCAUUUUGUUGGUUUCUGAGAUCGCCGUAAUGAUUAAUAGGGAUAGUUGGGGGCAUUUGUAUUCCGUCGUCAGAGGUGAAAUUCUUGGAUUGCCGGAAGACAAACUACUGCGAAAGCAUUUGCCAAGGAUGUUUUCAUUGAUCAAGAACGAAGGAAGGGGGAUCGAAAACGAUUAGAUACCGUUGUAGUCUCUUCUGUAAACUAUGCCAAUUGGGGAUCGGUACAGGAUUUUUAAUGACUGUAUCGGCACCCGAAGAGAAAUCUUUAAAUGAGGUUCGGGGGGGAGUAUGGUCGCAAGGCUGAAACUUAAAGGAAUUGACGGAAGGGCACCACCAGGUGUGGAGCCUGCGGCUUAAUUUGACUCAACACGGGGAAACUCACCAGGUCCAGACACAAUAAGGAUUGACAGAUUGAUAGCUCUUUCUUGAUCUUGUGGUUGGUGGUGCAUGGCCGUUCUUAGUUGGUGGAGUGAUUUGUCUGGUUAAUUCCGAUAACGAACGAGACCUUAACCUGCUAAAUAGACCAGCCGGCUUUGGCUAGCUGCUGUCUUCUUAGAGGGACUAUCAGCGUUUAGCUGAUGGAAGUUUGAGGCAAUAACAGGUCUGUGAUGCCCUUAGAUGUUCUGGGCCGCACGCGCGCUACACUGACAGAGCCAGCGAGUCUACCACCUUUGCCGGAAGGCAUGGGUAAUCUUGUGAAACUCUGUCGUGAUGGGGAUAGAACAUUGCAAUUAUUGUUCUUCAACGAGGAAUACCUAGUAAGCGUGAUCAUC